rnacentral:misc_RNA from 1 species
AAGUCGUAACAAGGUUUCCGUAGGUGAACCUGCGGAAGGAUCAUUAACACGUAUCCAACGUUAAACCCCCCUGUGAACGGCAAUCCCUGGUAAAUCAUCGCCGAACAGUUUUGAUUCAGGGACCUCUGCAUGGAGUGGGCAGCAGCGCGAGGUAAGUGGCCUGGCAUUCCUCUGCUUGUUGGUGUCUGAAAGUGUCACUAGCUCUGUAAGAAUGGCGCAGUAACGAUCGCUAGAGGCCGACACGGCCGGCGACCGGGUCACCGGGCUCACGCCCCCUAAUCACCUUUGCAUGAAAACGGGCCUGCGCUUAAUUGUGCGGCCACCAAACUCGAACAACUGUUAACAAUGGAUAUCUUGGUUCUC